AUGCCCCUGGACUUCACCAAGCACUUCGUCGCGGUGCCGACGGAGUUCAAGCUCGGGAACAACACUGGCUGCUCCUGGAAGGUGAUGGUGAAGCUGACGAACGGCAGGGUGACCCUGGAUCAGGGUUGGGCCACCUACGUAGCCGUUCAUCAGAUCAAGAUCGGCUACAUGGUGACGUUCAAGCUCCUCACUUGCGACACCCUCAAGGUCAUCAUCUUCGACGAGGAUGGCAUUGAGGUCGUCAACAAGUGCGGGAAGCAUGAAGAAGCCUUCGCCGCCAAGGAGUAG
rnacentral:rRNA from 1 species